GGGGGGGAGUUUUGGGGCCCAAGACGAGUUUGCUCCUGGACCGACUGAGUCAGAAACAGAGCAUUGAGGUGAGAAGAGAAGCCAUUAUCUCCAGCCUUAUACUGUACCAUGGGAAGAAGGAAUAUGACUUGUUUAGGACUGCUUGUUUACGAUGGCUAAAGCGAUGGCAGUGGUCAGAGGCCACUCUUCAAUAAACAACUGAAAAGAGAAAGAAGUUUGGUUAUUGGAGCGUCGUUGUCUGGCUGUCUAGCCGGCUGAAAAGUUGGGAAAACUCAGGGCGAGGACAGCACAGUGAUGUCAGUAACUCUGUUUUCAAAAUCUGACAGCUAUGAGAUUGUCCCAGGAUGCAAGAGUACAGCGAAAGCUUGUCCACUGCUUAUGGGACUGAUUUAUGCCCUGAACUGUGCAUACCCUCCUAUUUUGUGCUACACUUUUAAAGUCCUCUAAGAACUCUUGCUGGAGAUGGAUCAAUUUAAACUCUACACAAAAGAAAACACCCUGAAGUGAAAGUUACUGUCAUGAUUCUGUCUUCCUAGAGGAGGAAAAUAUUUCUGUAAUGAAUGUUUUAACUCUGACAGUGUUGUAAACUUUUCACUACAUAUUUAAAAAACACUGUUCCAGUUUGAAUGUAAAAUUUAUCACUGCCCCAUAAAGAAAUUUAGAAAUUAAAUUCACACUACUAGUGGAGUUACUUAUUUGUGAAGCCGUUUCUUUAAUGCAUAGAGUAUUGCUUCAUUUUAUUUGUAAACGUUUAUCCAGAGACAACUGGCAUCAAAUAUAUUGUUUUAGUGCGUAGUUUAACAUAAUGCAAAAAGUAAAAAAUGUUUACUUUAAUUUCAUGUCAUAAUUACAUGAAUUGCCUUUAAACCUUAAUGGCACAUUACUUAAUUAUGUACAAAAACUGGAAAUAUGUUAUGUUCUAUUGUAAACUUUAAGCUAUUGCCUUAUGUAACUAGUUUUUACAUUUCAUUCCACUUUAAUAAAACUUUGUCUUAAAUAAUGCUGUGAAGUUAUUGAAAUGUCAGCCUAUGGUUCAGCUUGAAUAAGUUUGAGAUAUUUAAAAAACAUUUUUGCCUUUCUAAAUAACUUUAACCUGGGCAUUUUUUUACCUGUAUGGGAG